AAUCUUAUAGUUAAAAAAUAAUAUUAAACUGCAAUUUUAAAGUUAAAAAAAAAUUUUAAGGUUU
rnacentral:tRNA from 1 species